AAUGUUUAGAGUUUUGCUGUACUGCUGUGUCACAUUGGUCUGUGCAGCUGUGCGUGAGCUGGAUAACUACUACUGUUAGCUUACAUGGUUCCAUGGAUAUUCAAUAAUGGUUGGGUGGUUGAACACCAGCAUCAACACAUGUUCCACAGCUGCAGGGAGCUUCAUGGAGAAAAUUAACCAGGACACAAGAACUCACAUCUACCAAUUGUUCCUUUAGCAACUUCAGGAAGUGCCAGAUGACCUUGGUAUGAAGAAGUGUGUCCAAAGGGGUCUAAAUGAUUUCCCUAUGCAGUGAGGUCCAAUAACACCGCUGACUCAUUGGCCACUAACCUCACUUCCUAUCUGAUCAUCUGCAAAAUACCACAGAGCAACAGUGACUGGCUAUCUGCAGGCCACCACCUCACAUGUCAGCGGCUCUUCACUUCUUCUGCUUUAAUGGAUGCGGCGCAGAGAGCUGAUUAAGGGUCUACAAGGACUGACUCACUUUUGGAACCAGUCUCUCGUGGCUGUUUGAGAAGCUGCAGCUUUUGACACUUCCACGCAAGCCUCACUUUCCAGCACUGAAGGUUUCUGCUUAAGAGCAAAGGGCUCCUCAUCCACAGAUGAUGAAAUGCAUCUCUAAUGAGUAAUGGAACCUGAAUCUAUCCUGUCACACGCUGUUGAACUUUCACUGGUAGGGAGCACGAAAUGCGAGGAAGCUACAGUUAAGUGCAAUAUGCUCCUGUCAACUACUUAUGAGCACUCCUGUAUGGAUUUUGCAUUGCAGUUAUUAAGACACAAAUUGUAAAAAAUUCAUUGGACAUGACAAUUUCAAUUAUGCUAAUA